UACAGAGGGUGCAAGCGUUAAUCGGAAUUACUGGGCGUAAAGCGUGCGCAGACGGUUGCGUAAGUCAGAUGUGAAAGCCCCGGGCUCAACCUGGGAACUGCAUUUGUGACUGUAGAGCUGGAGUACGGCAGAGGGGGAUGGAAUUCCGCGUGUAGCAGUGAAAUGCGUAGAUAUGCGGAGGAACACCGAUGGCGAAGGCAAUCCCCUGGGCCUGUACUGACGCUCAUGCACGAAAGCGUGGGGAGCAAACAGG
rnacentral:rRNA from 1 species